rnacentral:rRNA from 1 species
AUGGCGUGGUGGAAGCUUUGCAUUCCUAAAUGUGAAGGAGGCAUGGGCUUUAGGGAAUUAUAUUCUUUCAACUUGGCAAUGCUCGCAAAACAGUGUUGGAGGUUGAUUACUGAUCCAAUGUCAUUAUGUGCAAGGGUAUUAAAGACGAAGUAUUACCCCAACGGGAGCUUGCUUGAUGCCACCCUGAAGAGCGGGGCGUCCUUUACAUGGCAAAGUAUACUGAAAGGAUUCGAAACUUUCAAAAAAUGCUAUAUUUGGAGGGUCGGAAUGGGUGAAGAUAUGAACAUAUGGAGUGACCCUUGGGUCCCUUCGAGCGCUGACAGGAAGAUAGUCAUCCCUAGAGGACAUACGAUUUUGACUAAAGUAUGUGAGUUGAUUAAUUCGGUGCAAGGAACGUGGGAUGAGAACUUGAUCCAGACUAUUUUCAAUCCUGUUGAUGUCAGAAGGAUCAUGCAGAUACCUCUAAACCAUAACGCUUUUGAGGACUUUAUUCCAUGGAAAAGGAAUAGAUAUGGAAUCUUCUUAGUUCGCACCACGUACCAUUUAUAA